AUGAACGCUGGCGGCGUGCCUAAUACAUGCAAGUCGAGCGAACAGACGAGGAGCUUGCUCCUCUGACGUUAGCGGCGGACGGGUGAGUAACACGUGGAUAACCUACCUAUAAGACUGGGAUAACUUCGGGAAACCGGAGCUAAUACCGGAUAAUAUAUUGAACCGCAUGGUUCAAUAGUGAAAGACGGUUUUGCUGUCACUUAUAGAUGGAUCCGCGCCGCAUUAGCUAGUUGGUAAGGUAACGGCUUACCAAGGCGACGAUGCGUAGCCGACCUGAGAGGGUGAUCGGCCACACUGGAACUGAGACACGGUCCAGGCUCCUACGGGAGGCAGCAGUAGGGAAUCUUCCGCAAUGGGCGAAAGCCUGACGGAGCAACGCCGCGUGAGUGAUGAAGGUCUUCGGAUCGUAAAACUCUGUUAUUAGGGAAGAACAAAUGUGUAAGUAACUAUGCACGUCUUGACGGUACCUAAUCAGAAAGCCACGGCUAACUACGUG
rnacentral:rRNA from 1 species